CGAGAUAUCCUCAUUGCUAUUAUUUAGGGGCUGAACUAAUAAUCUAUUUCUCUCUUAGAGCAGUAACAUCAUCAUAUACGACAACACAUCCAAGAUUUAGGGGUUAUCGUUCUAUAAAAUGAGACGUGUAUUUCUCUGCAUGAAUGACUUCAUUGCGGACGACCAUAUAACUAACUCAGGCUUCCUGAAUUCUGGGAGGAAGAAGUUAAGUGAAUAGUGCUCAAACUCUGCCAAAAUCAGGAGCAGAUUAGAAUCUACAGAGUUUUAGACCCCCAUUGAUUCUUGGAGCAGAUCAGAGCAGGCUCUUUCAUGUAGACUCUCAUAGCCUACCGUUGAUGUUGGUUUCACUACGGGAGAUCAAAUCUGUGUGAAGGAUCAACAAUUUGGGAUUAAGGAUUGGGUGGCCAGAUCUUGGUGAAAGAGGUGUUGCUUCACUUGACUCAGGCCUUAACUGGAACCUGUGGAUCUGGAUUUCGUUCAUGUAAGGACAGCAACCAAGCAAGGACAAUCGUCAUAAGGCAAGAGUUAAAGGGUGGCGGGAGCCAAAGGGAGUAAGCGCGUUUUUUGAAAGGGUCUUGGUGGCCAAGAACUGGGAAUUUCAAUACUGAAAGGUGGCCAGCCAAAGAAGAGAUUUUGUCCGGACCCACCCAAGAUCCAGUAAGUGCCGGGUAGAGCAAGCUCGUAUCCUAGCUUCC